GCGGAGCUCCUCAAGUGCCGUUCCAAGGUGAGGGCGGCGAUUCCGGAAAUCUUGGCCCGCCUCAGAGAAACAAUAAGCUCCAAAGACCAGUGGAGCUUUUACGGGCACAUGACUGCAUACCUGGCAUCCAUCUUCGGCCACCGAGGCGGUGUUUACCAGAAUAUGACGAUAGAGGAGGUGGAGGGUGCCCGCAAAAGCUCCACAGGGGACUCCUACCUGAUUAACAUAGCAACGCACAAGACCAACCAGCAGUUUGGGGCGGCACAGAUGUCCUUGACGGGGG